rnacentral:lncRNA from 1 species
AGGGGACCCGGGCAAUAAGGCCGGGCAGCCCGGCCCAGCUCCCCUGUGCUUCCUCACCCCGUGCACGGGAAACCUCUGGAAGGGAGGAGGCUGGAGGCAGAGGAGCCAAGGGGCGGCUCUGCCGGGCAGGGCGCCACCCUGAGGAGAUUCUCCAAGGGCCACCUGCCAGGACAGCUGCCCAGGUGGGUUCGCCGGGUACGUGGGAUUCCCACUUUGUGGCAGUCACUGACCUUCAGUCACCCGGGAGGAAGCCUCAAGGCCACAGGGGCCUCAUAAUCUCCCCACCGAGUUCCUGGAGUCGGCCCUUGGAGGUCAUUUGGGUCAAGGGCAGCAGCCAGGCGUCCGAGUCCAUCUGCCGUCCCUCCCGUCUUCUGGGUCCCCGGAGCCGCAGCCGCGCGUCUAGAGAGCCCAGCAGUGGAGACAAGAAUGAGCCUGACUCCUGCGGCUGGCUGGCGGGCUGGGGCUGCCUCCUCGACUCUCUGCCGAGGCCCAAGGCUGGGAAGUGUCUGGGAUGCACACGUCACAGGGGCGGCUCUGGCUUCAUCCCCAUCCUCCAUCUCGUGCCCUUUCCCUUCAGAAAGCUCCUGCUGUGGACAGGCGAAAGGAAAGCUCUCGACAAAAUCUUUCAUCUCAGCCCCCUCCCAACUAAAUUAAGACCAAUAAAACUCCCACUCAACAAAUCCACAGGCCAAAAUAAA